rnacentral:rRNA from 1 species
GAUGAACGCUAGCGGCAGGCUUAACACAUGCAAGUCGAGGGGCAGCACGGGUAGCAAUACCUGGUGGCGACCGGCAAACGGGUGCGGAACACGUACGCAAUCUACCUUUAUCUGGGGCAUAGCCCGAAGAAAUUCGGAUUAAUUCCCCAUAAUAUGAUUAAGUGGCAUCACUUGGUUAAUUAAACUCCGGUGGAUAGGGAUGAGCGUGCGUCCCAUUAGCUAGUUGGUAGGGUAACGGCCUACCAAGGCGACGAUGGGUAGCUGGUGUGAGAGCACGACCAGCCACGACGGGCACU